ensembl:lncRNA
AUUCUUCGUUCUGACUCAGGAUCCACACUCCAGUCUGCCUGCUGAAACAAUUGUUCUUUGGACUGUCAUUGACAAUGAAUUCCUUUAAAUCAUCUAAGAAAACAUGUGUAAUCCACUGGAAAUUUCAAGGCAUUGAGUCAUCAUCACUCGCCUUGUCCCCCUCAAAUUCCCAUCUCUUAUGUAAGGCUGAGUCACAUUUCAUGAGGUCCGGGCACUGAAGAAAGGAACUGGAAAACUCUCAAGGUGUGUGUGUGUGUGUGUGUGUGUGUGUGUGUGUGUGUGUGCGCGCGCGCGCGCGCGCUCGAGUGUGUGCAUCUUUGAGGCGCUGGCAGCAGCUGUCUUGCACGAGACCCCACAUCCUCUGAUCUCACUCUCUCUGCUUCAUGUUCUACCCAGGGAAAUGUCUGAUGGAGUUUGCAAGAGUCAACUGCUGUUCUGCUCCCAAGCUCAGGAACAUUGUGACUGGUGCCAGGACAGGCCCAUGAAAUGAACAAAGGGACAAAGACAACAGAAGGAUAAAUGACAGCAACAGAGUCAAGGGGGGCCAAAACUCGGAUGGAUGCAGGGUCACUGACUUCAGCAACUAGAUAUGACAAGCACCCUACUGAAACAUUGUCUAUGAAGCCUUAGCUUACAGACUUCAGGGAGUCUCUCACCUGGGGAAAUGAGUUUACAUCAGAGUGGAUACCAGUGGCCACGCCCCCUGACCCCCACCCCCCACCCCCACCCCCGCGCCAUCCCCUGGACUCCUACCUGGGAAGUGAAGAGCCUAUCUACAGAUUUUGCUAUGAAACCUCCUCAAUCCUCAGAAAGAUAUGAAAAAAAGUUCCUGCUCCUGCCACAUAGGCCCUGAUUUCCACACUUCAGAGCCUCUGCUAUGAUGUCUUUGUCUCUGGUGCUGGGGCCCUGCUUGUGUCUGCUAAUCUCUUCCAAUAAAUCCCACACCCCCCAAUAAUCUGUCUGUGUCCCUUUUGAACUGGCAUCCAGACCUUUCCAUUGUCUCCAGAGUCAGUGGGAUGGAGUGAAAAGUGGGAAAGAGAGAAGCCACCUGGCUUCAUGUUUUCCUUGGCUAGAACUAGGAUUCUACUCAAGGUUUCUGCCUGGGGAUAGUAGUUUGGUUGAGCAGGGUGGCAGCUGGUUGCUGUAUUUUUCUCUGUCUAUCCAGGCUGAGAGGGGACUGAAGGUCGGUCACAGAAUAUGUAAACAGGAGGAGGUCUCCCUGAAAGCUUGCCAUUCUGGAAGGGCCUGCAUGUCUUCAGGGUUGGGAGUUCCAGGGCUAGAGUCCUGAUGGGGGAUCCUACCUGCUUUUAAGGGGGGCUUCAUAUACAGAGUGUUAUAGACCAAUCUGAUAUGAUAAGUCUUCCAAGAUCUAAGAGACCACAAAGGUGACCUAAAAACCACUCUCCAGAGCCCCUGUCUGAAGAGCGUUCCUUUUCUCAGUAUAAGAGUUGUGCCUGCUGUUAUGUCUAGUGGCUUUCCCAAUAACACCUCAGACAGGCAUAGCUCCCCUUCCCGAGCUGCCUGUAUCUAUUCAAGUUCUCGCACUUACUCUGAGGGACACCUGGUUGUUCUCUCUGUUUCUGAGAUUCCAUUCCUGGAGAGCCAGUCCUGGCUAACACUUUAGCUCACUGCAGGAGUUGGACAGCGGGUCAUUCUUUAUUAACCAAGUGCUUUGAGGCUACAUGGGAGCACACAGCAGUGUGAACCCUAGUGAUGGUGUUAGCUCUGCUUGUCUUCCUUUCUGGGAAAGUGUUGGGGGUAGCCUCAGAGUUUCUGACCAGUGAACUAGUGACUGGGCCUGUGAGUCAGACUAUCCUGAACCCCACUGUGCAGUGUAAAGCAAGGUCUCUGCAUACACAUCAGCAUGUGUCCGUGUGUUCCAGUAGGUUUAGGUGUCUGUCUAUUGAGCUGACUUUUCUCCCUGGCCCCAGAUUUGGUUCCCAAGUUCCCUAGCCUUCUCCCCUUGUCUGUUCCUUAUCUCUGGCUUCAGUGUUUUAAAAAAAUGUCAUAUUGAGCAGCCAGGACUACUCAGAGUCCAGAAUGCAAUAAGUUUACAGCAGGGGAUGGGGCUCCGCCAGGGUCUGGCUUCACAGCCUGCAGCUGGUCAGAGUCAGAGGGGUUCUUGGAGACUAGCCAUGCCUGCUGCAGGCUGUUCCCUGGCUUCCCACUCAGCCAUCUCAGCCUCAGCUCAGGGAAUUUCGGAGAUUAGUAGUUAUGAUUGGGGGUGGGGGCUGAGGGUAGGGAAAGAGAAUGAUACUCUUCUUGUCUACCAGCAUUUAAAUAGGAGAUGGAGGGACAGGGUUUCUCUUGGUUGGGACAAGACCCACUGGAACACCCCUCCCAGCAGGCAAUUGAGUCAGCACUCCUGGGUGUUCUGGGGUGAGAGAGUUCUGGCUGCUCCCCACAAGCCCCCAGCCCCCCACUGCCCUUCUCUAAGAUUCCAGAGAGACACAGAUCACUGGCUCUUUCAGGAUCUUGGCUGCUUUUCAGUUCCCACGAGGACUAACAAGAAGAAAAGGGCUUCCACCCUAGCAAUGGGAAAGUAGCUAGGCCCCAGGUGGGGAGUGUCUCAAGAUAGUCAGGGCUCUGACAGUUUCUCCAAGCUGAGUGUUCGAAGAUCAACCUCUCCUCAUGGACUCAGGUGUGCACCUAGAAGGGGCCCAGCCAGAGACAGAUGUUUUCUCUGUCUUUCCAGACCAUGGCUUUUGCAAUUAGACCUAGGAAAACAAUUUUUUCCCCUUUCUUCAGUUCUUUAAAAAAAAUCAAGAUUGGCUUAAAUACAAAGUGAUCAUUUGGGUCUUUUGAAGGUUUAAAAAAAAGUUGGGGGAGAGAUGACCUUUCGAGAAUAAGGCUUUGUUUCCAGUUGCCUCCCACCCCCAGAGUUCCCAGCUCCUUCUUGGUCAGGAAAAGGCUUUGCUUGUCUUUGACUGAAGACUGGAGAUGAGAUAACACCCCUGUGUUUCAAAGACAUUUCCCCAAGGGCCCAACUGCUUGCAAGGCCUCUGAGGAAACCUUGGCCAACCUCCUGGCUCCAGCAGCUGGCCUCAAAACUAAGACUGCUUGGCCUGUCCCGGAAGCCUGUGAAUCCCCAAGUCGGCAAGAGGCUGCACUGCGAGAUCACCCUGUGGCUCAGAUGCCUGGCUGCAGGCCCUGGGCCUGCCUCAGCCAGGCUAGAAGCUAGGGUAAAUAAGCACAUUUAUCUUAUACAGACCUCAUCUUCUGAGGAAUUGUACUGUGUGGUGAUGCUAUCAGCAUCAAAAGGUCUUUGCUCCUGUGGAGAGGGGGAGGCACAAUUCUCCUCAUCGGACACUUGAUAAUUAUUGAUGGCUGCUGUCAUCUAUAGGAUUUUUUGGCCAUCAGGUUGUAAUUUUAGUAGAAUGUUAACUUCUUUGCCCCAAGACAGAAGACGGUGGCUCUCCCAAAACCCAUUUGACUAUAUAACCCACAAAGGCUAGUUUGCAUGAUGCUACUGUAGGCACCGCUUGAAGACAGGGCAUCUGAGAGAGGCAUAUUGGGAGAAAAGAGGGAGUCUUAGUCUAGAGAGAGAACAGACUGGAAGCCUCAGGACCUGAGAUCUUGACACCAAAGGGCAGCCAGUGUGGAAUAUGGAGCCCUACCAUGACCUUGUGUCCAGGUGUGGUACAGAGGUAGCCAGAUGCCUCAUCAGACACUGGCAUCAUAUGUGGCACAAGAGUGGCAGGCAGGGUCCAGGCUGUCUCACAUGGAUAAAACGUGUCAGUAGAGCAACUGUUUACUAGUUCUAGACCACCUUUACACGCUCAGUGGCCACCUGGCCCCAUGGCCAGUCCCUUGAACUCGGUGUCUUAUUUUCUUCCUCUGUGGUAGAAGAUGGGGAGAAACACACACACACACACACACACACACACACACACACACACACACACACACAGAGUGAAACAGCCCAACGCAGGGGUCACCUGAGACAAAGGGACUGUUUUGGGACCACCAGCUAAGUAUCACCAGCUGAGUUCUGUCUUGGGCCACAGAGGCAGGUUUAUUGCCAAAAAACCAGCCUAUUCCCAGUUGGCCAGGGCUGGUCUGCCUGCUGGAGAGAUCUAGAGAGUUCUUGGUGGACGGCGGCUGCCUUGGGAGAUUGCGGCUGGCCCUUUCCCUCUUGCUUGUGUUUGGGAUUAACACGUAGCCCCUUUAACCUUUUCAUUUUUCUAACGAGAUGGAAACUUGGCUGGUGACCAAGCCUGGACGUGCUUGCAGAGUGGCUGGGCUCAGGCCCAGCGCACGGUAAUUGUGGUCAUAUGUGAGAUGCUGGCCUGCUGGGUGUUAUAGCUGCAGGACAGGACUUCCAGGCAGAGAGAAGCUGAGGAAAGAAAGGCAAAUGGUGUGGCUUUGGGCUCCCAUCCUCACCUAUCUGUCCCUUGGUUUUCCUGUUAAAAAUAGUGGGAUUGGCUUGUAGGACCUGGCUGAUCUGAGAGUCCAGAUGGCUUGAGAAACAGCCUAGCUCUCAUAGAGUCCCUCUUCUCAGCUCUGGAAUAACCUUCCGUGUACACAGGAAAGAUGAGGUAAGAGGCUCCAGGGCUGUGAGUCUGCUCUGCCUCGUCAGUCUAAAUGUGUUUUCACAGGACACACAGAAGGCUGGGUACCCUGAGCCACUACAUACCUACGUAAUGGUUGUGACUGCCACUAUCCUAGGAAGGAGAAUUCUGGGUCAAAGAGGCUAACAGAGUGGGAUGGGAAUGCAAGCAGAAGGGUAUAAAAGUGGUUUACAGGAGCACACGGUGAAGUCCUGAGCAUACAGAAGUGAACUUGUUAAAUACCAGGAGCCAAUAGCUUCAGGGGCUGGAGGUGGGGACUGGGAAAAUCACUUGGCUUGUAAAGGGGCAGUAAGUAUGACAGCUGAGAAGGAGACCCUGACUCUGGACCUCUUGGCUUGCCACUAAUCCUAAUAGUUAGGAGACAGAAGCAGGAGGAUCCAGAGGUGAAGGCCAGCCUGGGCUGCAGAGGGAAACCCUGUGUGUGUGCGUGUGUAGUACUAGUAUAGGAGUAAUAGAAGGAGAAGGAGAAAGAGGAGAAGGAGGAGGAGGAGGAGGAGGAGGAGGAGGAGGAGGAGUUAUCUACAUAGCUCAGUCAGUAGAGGCCUGCACACAGGCCUGACAAUCUAAUCUCCUAAGAGUUCUUUUCUGACUUUUGUAUCACACACACACAGCAGAAAAACUUAAAAAGAAAGGAAAAGCAAAACAAAGGACUUGAGUAGUUAUUUUUUUCCAAAGAGAGUAUAUAGUUGACCCAUCAACAUGUGAAAAAGCACUUGGCUUCACAGGGAACAAGGGAAAUGCAUAUCAAAAGCACAGGGAGCUACCACUUUGCAUCCAGUAGGAAGGCAAUAAAAAAAAAAAAUGGAACCGGAAAAUAACAAAUGAUAAAUAAGCACUGCUGCUGGGAAGGUAGCCUGGUAUAACUGCUGGGAGAAAUGGCUGCCUGGCUCCCCGAAGCAUUAAACACACAACGAUCCACCCACUCCCCUCCCAGGUAUAUAUAACCAAGAAUGAGAGGCAGGAACACCAGAGCUGACAGCCAGUUGCAAAUCAGUGUCCACAGCAGCAUUCACAAGACACAAAGGUGGAAAAACCCAACUGCCUAUCACUAGAAAAAUGAUAAAGAUGCUAUAUGUAUACCUGGCUGAAUGUCAUUGAGUCACAGAAGGAAAUAGAAUUUUGAUAUAUACUGCAACAUGGAUGGACCUGAAAUAAAAUGGAAACAGAGGUAAAAAUACUGCGUAAUUCCAUUCAGGCAAGGCACUGAGGUCAAUUGAGCUACAGACAGAGAGUAGAAUAGAUGCUACCAGAGGGUGGGAGAUGGGAAAGGGAGAGUUAUUAUUUAAUGGGCAUACAGUUCAGAAGAGGGAUGAUGAAAAAAAUUCAGAGCAUAGAUAAAUCUGCCUAUCAUGUGAUAGACACACAACCUUCAAUGUAGUUGAUUUUCCUGGAGCAAACUGUCACAAGCUGGUUGGAAUAUUACAUUGUACACUUUUAUAACAAAAAAAAACGUAUAAAAACUCAAACAGAAAUGUGUCAUUAGAAUUAUAUAUUACAAAUCCCACAGUUAUACAGCCGCUGCUUUAAUACAAACGUGUGUGGGUGUGAGUUUGUUUGUAUCCUCGAGCACAGGUACCCAUGGAGACCAGAAGAAGCAACAGAUCCUCUGGAGCUGGAGUUACAGGUGGUUAUGUGCACCAGAAACCAAACUCAGGACCUCUGAAAGAACAGCCAGAGCUCUUAACCACUGAGCCCUCUCCCCAGCCCUAUACCCUGCUUCUUCAAGUUACAUUUUGUCAUGGGCAUUUCUCCUUUCUCUUUUCUUUCCCUCUCUCUCUGUGUCUCUCUUUCUUUCUUUUCUCUCUCUUUCUUCAUUUUUCUUCUCUCUCUCUCUCUCUCUCUCUCUCUCUCUCUCUCUCUCUCUCUCUCUCUCUCUCUCUCUCUCAAGACAGGUUUUCUCUGUAUUGCUUUGGAGCCUGUCCUUGAAUCUCGAACUCACAGAGAUCUGCCUGCCUCUGCCUCCCGAGUGCUGGGAUUAAAGGCGUUGCACUACCAACCCCUGACUUUCUUUUCUCUUUCUUCUUUCUUGCUCUCUUCCUUCCUUCCUUCCUUCCUUCCUUCCUUCCUUUCUUUCUCUUUUCUUUUCUUUAUCUUUUCUCCUUUCUUUCCUUCUUCCUUCCUUCCUUCCUUCCUUCCUUCCUUCCUUCCUUCCUUUCUCGUCAGCUUCUACUUUAAAUGUUGCUUUGCAUUCCAUUCAGUGUCAAGGGCAAAUACAGUUAACCACUUGUCUGCUUUAGGGCAUGUCUGCCCACUCAACUUCAUUUUUUUAAAGUAAUACUGCAGAGGGUUUGUGUGUGCCUUUCCACAUUUUUGAACCCUUGCCAAAAUUUCCAGGGGGUAGAAUUACUGUGGAUGAGAACAAACAUUUUUAUAGUCUGCAAUCUCUGUCACCAUAUUAUUUUCCUUGAGCAUUGCAAGAAGCUGGCAACACACUGAGCUGCCUAUUUCACCAUGCUUUCCUGAGUCCUUGAGUAUCAGUUCAAACACUUCUUUCUAUUUAGCUUUGUAUUUUGUUGGUGAUUAGCAAGCUGGGGCGUGUUCCUGCGAAUCUGUCUACAAAUUGUAAUUUGUUUUAUGUAAAUUGCUUCAUCAUCUUUGUCCCCAUUUAUAAGUAAGCUUUUUGGUUCAUUAUUGUCAGUUAGCAUAAACUCCUGAUAUAAUAUUCCUAUCUGAAAACUUUUAAGGAAAGAGAUAGAAUACAAACGUGUGUGUGUGUGUGUGUGUGUGUAUACAUACACACAUAUGUUCUACUUUAAAUGUUCUAAAUAUUUUGCCCUUUUUCAUUCUUUGCUUGUUUUGUUUUGACAGGAUCUCAUGUAGCCCAGGUUGGACUCAAAUUCUAUAAGUAGCUGAGAAAGACCUUGACCUCUUCUGAUCCUUCUGCCUCCAUGUCCUGAGUGCUGAGAUAUUGAGAUAUAGGGUCCUGCUCUGGGCCUCUAAGGAGCCAUUCUGAAUUCGGAGUGUCUGCUCUCUUCAAAGAUUGCUAGCCGGAGGCUUUACCAGGGACCCACGGGUGAAUUACUUGUGACUAGAAUGCCAGGUGCGUCCUGUCUUCCCAGUCUCUACAUGGCGUCUCUCAGUGGUCUCUCUCCACCUACCUUUCCCAGAGUUCUCCUCAUCUCCUGCCUCUACUGGCCAAACAGCGUUUUAUUCAUCAACCAAUAAAAGAAACAUAUAUACAGAAGGAUGUCCCCCAUCACAGGGACUCUGGGCCAACCAAGACCCAGAGGUGGCAGCGGCAUCCGUGAAUCAUGAAGAGGGCCACAGCCAAUUGCUGUGAGCUGGAGAGGACAGGGGCAUGUCUGCAGGAUUAUCCUGCCCCGGGGCUGCUGAACUUCCACCCACUUGUCUACUUCAGCUGGGUUUUGUGCCUCUGCAAAGCCCUCUCACUCCUCCUCCAUGUAAUCACAGGGCUAUGUGUCCCCAUCGUAGAACUUGUCACCCUGCACUGUAACUCUGCUCAGCUCCCAUCUUCACCACUGUAGUACAAGUUCAGUGCAUACUGAUUUUCUCUAAUUCCCCCAGUUGUAGGGCUGGCUCUAGCUCAGGAGGCAAGUGGGGGUGGCACUCAGUCCAGUGGAAGACUCAGCCAGGUGUGGGGAGGCUGGGAAGUCAUUUAGGACAGGGAGCUUUUCUACAGAGAAAAGAGAAGAUGGGUAUCUUUCAGUUUCCUUUGCUUGUUUGUGUGUAUCGGUCACCCUCCCCAUGUGAAAGUCUGGGGCCACUUUCUGCUAGGUGAUCUUGAGAUCUUGCUAUGUGACAUGUGCAUGCCUCAAAAUCAGCACACCAUGCAAAACUACACACCGAAACCCACAGGGCGUACUAUUAUUAUACUCAACAAACUAAGAACAUAAAGAAAUUACAUCAAUGCAAUCAAAGCCAUUUACACAGCUAACAUCAUGGCCAAUGAUGGAAGAUGGAAGCCUUUCUCCUAAGAUCAGAGCAAGGCAAGGUUGCCUGGCCUGCUCUCACUUCAAUUCAAUUCAAUUACAAAACAUCGAGUAAUGCUGAUUUUAAAACCUUCAAGCGAUUUAAACACACACUUCUCCAAAGACAAUACACAAAUAGUCAACACACAUAUGAAAAGAUAAUUACCAUCCUUAAUCUUUAAAGAGAAAUGCACAGCAGACCAUAAAGAGACAUCAUCUUACACCCCUCCAGAUUCUACCAUUACAAAAAAAAAGAAAGAAAAAAGAAAAAAGAAAAGAAAAGAAAUAAAGAAAAGAAAAGAAAAGAAAAUAACCAGUGUGGCAAGGAAGGUGGGGAAUUGGAACUCUUGCUCGGUGGGAUUGAAAAACAGUGCAAUUGCUCUGGAAAACAGUUUGGCGGCUCCUUAAAAUAUUCAACAUACAAUUGCCAUAUAACCCACUAAUCCCACUACUGGGUAUAUACGCCGAAGAAUUCAAGUGGUGUCUGCAGGAGAUGUUUACAAGUUCGAAUUCAGUGCAGCAUAGCUCCCAGCAGCCAGGAGAUGGAAGCCACCCAAGUGUCUGUCAGUAGAAGAACAGAUAAGCAGAAUGCAAUGUAUACAAGUCUUUGAGCUGCUGUCAAGAAAUGACCAAUGCUUGGUAUUUACAAAGAACAGAAACUUAGGCUGGGUGUGGUGACACAUGGCAGUAAAGCCCGGCACUCUCGGGAGGUGGAGGUGAGAGGAUUACGGAUUUGAGGCUAGCCUGGGCUGCAUAGUAAGACCCACACCCACUCACACACCCUAACCAAAUCAAACCAAACAGCAACAAGAAAGCACUUCAGAAAUUAAUUUUUCUCUGUUCUGGAACCUGGGAGUCCAAAUAAUAAAGUCCCUGACAGAGUCAGUGUCUGCUGAGGGCUGUUCUCUGUUUCAGAAAUGGCUGCAUUGCUGUGUUGACGGGGUGGAAGGGGUCACCACUGUGUCCUUGUGUAAUGCAAAGGCAAAGGGAGGAAGUGUUCUCUUUCAGUCUCUUCAUAGGAGCACCAAUCUCCUACACAGUUCAGUCACCUUGGGCUAAAUUCUAAAAUAACAAUUUAGACAGACAUUCAAGUCAUAGCAGUACAGAAAGUAGUAUAUUAGCCUUAGAGGGGAAAAAGUCUGCCUUGCAGUGGUGGUGCACACCUUUAAUCCCAGCACUGGGGAGGCAGAGGCAGGCAGAUUUCUGUGAGUUUGGGGCCAGCCUGGUCUACAGAGCUACAUAGAGAAACACUGUCUUGAAAAAAAAAAUUCAAUGAAAAAAAUUGUGGAGUGGUUUUACAAGGUGAAUCAAUUUGAUACUCCUGAAUUACACACUGAAAAGUGGUUACUUUUAUGCUAUGUGAUUUUUUUAUCACAAUAAUAUUAAUUUUAAAGACUAUCACAGUGUUUAUGGCAAAAUGAGAUAAGAGCACAUUAAAAACAGUUCCUUGGUAACACGCAGAUAAAAAGAGAUCAGACCAUAAUAAAAAGGUAGUUUGUAAUACAUAUUAAGUGAUGGGAAUGCAUAAACACUACAAUAAAUAUUUUUUUUUCUUGAAAAGGCUCUGGAGUUGGUCUGUAGGGCAGGAGGGCUGUGCAAAGUCGGGAAAGGGCAUCUGCCAUCUAACAGAGUAGACUCCGCUGUGACUGGACAGGUCUUGUAGCCAUUGGAGAAGUCACCAGUGGAUUACUCUGUGGCUGGGUGAUGAUCUGUGUCUGGAAAUGCCCUUGAAGACUUACCCAGAGGGAUGCUUUAUUCAGAGACUAAAAAUC